UACGUAGGGUGCAAGCGUUAAUCGGAAUUACUGGGCGUAAAGCGUGCGCAGGCGGUGAUGUAAGACAGUUGUGAAAUCCCCGGGCUCAACCUGGGAACUGCAUCUGUGACUGCAUCGCUGGAGUGCGGCAGAGGGGGAUGGAAUUCCGGCGUGUAGCAGUGAAAUGCGUAGAUAUGCGGAGGAACACCGAUGGCGAAGGGCAAUCCCCUGGGCCUGCACUGACGCUCAUGCACGAAAGCGUGGGGAGCAAACAGG
rnacentral:rRNA from 1 species